GGAACUUCUGGAAAACCAGAUAGUGGGGGAUCCACUUCAUCCUUUUCAGAUAGCUGUGAGUCUGAGCGCACAUUCUAGUUAUGCCCAUCCUCUCAUUGUAACUUUUCAGGUCGUCGCUCCUUUUUGUCCAAAGCUAUCCACUCUUUAUUCUUUCCCACCCAGGCUGCAAGAGAAGCUUCUGAAAACCCAGUUACUGGGCUUUUAGAGUUUGAUGCUGCUGCCCUUCAUAGAGAUGCCCACUGUCAGAGCAGUGCUAGCUGUAGCGUAGAUUUUUCAGAUAUUUCUAAACCAUUUGAAUCUGAAAUUUUAGGUCGGUUGUGUAUUUCAUAUGAUACUUUUAAAUGUGGAUUGUGUGAAAGGUUUCUUUCACAAAGAUCCCUAUGGAGUUCUCAGCAGAUUGUAAGAAGCGGAGACAUGCCUGUUACUGGGGUUCAUUCAUGUUGUCAUGUUUUUCAUGCAGAGUGUUUGGGGCAGUGAUAAGUAAAGUAUUGUUCUCAUGAAAAAUUGUGUUUGAGUAUUAGACUAUGGUUGUUUUGAGUAUUUAGACUAAUGGCAAUUUAUAAGAAUUAA
rnacentral:misc_RNA from 1 species